UGGACACAGGAAGCAUAUCAGUUCAAGUUCCACUGCCAGUCCCAAAGAUAUUAUGAGAAUAAUCGCCAAAAAUGUUAAGGAAAAACACGACUCUCUAUUCUUUUAGUAUCCUACUGUAGCCUCGCUAGCUGAAUUACAAGCACCUGCUGCCACCUUUGCCUGAUUUGUUUCCAUAAAGAUUUUUCAUCAAGAUUCAUCCCGACUCAGGAAAAAAAGGCUUCAAUGCGGGACGUUCAAAAGAGAGAGUUUUCGGUUUUAUAAAUACCCUGGAUACCAUAAAAAUUUUGGCAGAGCUAC